rnacentral:tRNA from 1 species
GGCUCAGUGGUCCAAUAGUAAAGCGCUCGUUGUGAAUCCAGAGGUCCUGGGUUCGAUCCCCAAAGGGUCG